GGACUACCCGGGUUUCUAAUCCUGUUUGCUCCCCACGCUUUCGCGUCUCAGCGUCACUACAAGUCCAGCGAGUCGCCUUCGCCACUGGUGUUCCUGCGAAUAUCUACGAAUUUCACCUCUACACUCGCAAUUCCACUCGCCUCUCCUUGAGUCCAGACCCGCAGUCUUGAAGGCAAUUCCGGAGUUGAGCUCCGGGCUUUCACCCCCAACUUACAGGUCCGCCUACACGCGCUUUACGCCCAGUAAAUCCGAACAACGCUAGCCCCCUUCGUAUUACCGCGGCUGCUGGCAC
rnacentral:rRNA from 1 species